GAGUAAAGAUUUCGGUCGCUUUGGGAGGAGCUCGCUUACUAUCAGCUUGUUGGUAGGGUAAUGGCCUACCAAGGCUAUGACGGUUAGGGGGUGUGAGAGCAUGACCCCCAGCAUUGGCACUGAAACACUGGCCAAACACCUACGGGUGGCUGCAGUCGAGAAUCUUCCACAAUGGGGGAAACCCUGAUGGAGCGAUGCUGCGUGCGGGAUGAAGGCCUUCGGGUUGUAAACCGCUUUUGUAGGGGACGAAAUUUUUGACGGUACCCUUUCGAAUAAGAGGUUGCUAACUCUGUGCCAGCAGCAGCGGUAAUACAGAGACCUCAAGCGUUAUCCGGAUUUACUGGGCGUAAAGCGUCUGUAGGGGGUUUAUUAAGUUCCAAGUAAAAUUUCAAGGCUCAACUUUGAAUUCGCUUGGAAAACUAAUAAACUGGAGUCUAGCAGAGGUGCAUGGGACUUGUGGUGUAGGAGUGAAAUCCGUUGAUAUCACAAGGAACACCAAAGGCGAAGGCAUUGCACUGGGCUAGCACUGACCCUGAGAGACGAAAGCGUGGGGAGCAAAACGGAUUAGAUACCCGUGUAGUCCACGCCCUAAACGAUGAAUGCUAAAUGUUCGGGGAUUCGACCCCCUGGGUGUUACAGCUAACGCGUUAAGCAUUCCGCCUGGGAAGUACGGCCGCAAGGCUAAAACUCAAAGGAAUAGACGGGGAUCCGCACAAGCGGUGGAGCGUCUGGUUUAAUUCGACAGUAAGCGUGGUACCUCACCAGGGUUUGACAUCCCUUGACAGCCUUGGAAACAAGGUUUCCUUCGGGCAAGGUGACAGGUGCUGCAUGGUCGUCGUCAGUUCGUGCCGUGAGGUGUU
rnacentral:rRNA from 1 species